CGGAACGGGUGAGUAACGCGUGAGGAACCUGCCUCAAAGAGGGGGACAACAGUUGGAAACGGCUGCUAAUACCGCAUAAGCCCACGGCUCGGCAUCGAGCAGAGGGAAAAGGAGCAAUCCGCUUUGAGACGGCCUCGCGUCCGAUUAGCUAGUUGGUGAGGUAAUGGCCCACCAAGGCAACGAUCGGUAGCCGGACUGAGAGGUUGAACGGCCACAUUGGGACUGAGACACGGCCCAG
rnacentral:rRNA from 1 species